rnacentral:misc_RNA from 1 species
CCGAGUUUACAACUCCCAAACCCCUGUGAACAUACCUAUUGUUGCUUCGGCGGAACGCCCCGGGUGCUGCGUGCCCCGGAACCAGGCGCCCGCCGGGGACCACAAACUCUUGCUUCAGUAACUGUAUCUUCUGAGUGGCGUAAAGCAAAAAUAAAUUA